ACUAUAUUAAUGUAUACAGAUAUUCAUUCCACUCCGAUCAUCUCCCACUACUCACUACAAUCUUGAGUUUCAUUCGAUUCACAUCUGAAUUUGAGAGAGAAGGAGAUUAGAUGGCAGAGUCAGCAGCACUUACAGCAGUCAUUAACCAAGCAGUACAAAUAGGCGCCAAUCUAAUUGUCGAAACAGCUCACGCUUGUAUAGAUUGAAGGAAGACAUAGAAUGGAUUGAAGGACAAAUGAGACACUUCAAAUCAUGUCUCAAAGAUGCUGAGUCGAAGCAAGGUGGAAGCCAUGAAGUUGCUAACUUGAUAAUUGACAUGAAAGAGCUUGCUCUGGACAUCGAGGAUAUUUUUGAUACUUCCCUUCCAGAGAUUGAAUCACACAAGGGAAAGGGUCCAUUUCGAUUUGUUAAGCAUGCUGCUUGUAUACUAUGUUAUGGUUUCACUAAAAAUACCUUUGCCCUGAAAAUUGAGAAAAUCAAGAGACGGGCCCAAGAAAUUGAAGCCACUAGAGAAAGAUGCCGUAUUAAUCUGGAUACGGAUGGAGGUAAUGCAGAUAUGGACGUAUGGGAUCGAAGAAAAAAAUUCUUAGUUGCCACAGAUUCAAUAAUUGUUGGUCGUGAAGAUACAUUCCAGGAAUUCAAGGGAAAAUUGACGAACUCAAACUCAGCGUGUAAAAUGAUAUGUGUUGUAGGGGAGGCAGGUGUGGGUAAAACUACAAUUUGUAAAAAAAUAUAUACAGAUAUGCGAAAUGAGUUUACUUCUGCUGCUGUAGUCUGUCUCAAAUGAGCCUAGAGUCCAAGACCUUCUACUUGAAAUAGCAAAGCAAGUUGGCCUUGAAAAGGAAAAGAGGAAUGAAGAUUUGGAGGUCAACUUGCGUUCUCUGCUCAAUGAAAAUAGGUGCUUAAUUUUUCUAGAUGAUAUUUGGACAACUGAAGCAUGGGAUGACUUAAAGAACGUUAUCCCCAUGAACUCAAGAAAUGGUAGCAGAAUUAUCAUUACUUUUCGACGUACUGAUGUGGGCAGAUAUAUAGGUGGUGAAAGCUCUUUGAAUGAAUUAAAACUCUUAGAUAAAGAGAAGAGCUGGGAACUCUUCUUCAAGCUGAUGAAAUCUUCUUCAGGAAAUACGAAUGAGAUACUUCCUUCGAUAGAAUUGGAAGAUAUCGCUAAGAUGAUAGUAGAAAGAUGUGGUGGGUUUCCAUUGGCAAUUGUGGUAGCGGUGGGCAUGUUGCGGCAGAGAAGAAGAAAUAAACAUGCAUGGAAUGAGGUGCUUAAAAUCUUGAGCACCAGUACUGAAAAUAAUUGUUCAAAAAUCUUGUCUCUGAGUUACAAAGAUUUACCUCCUGACUUGCGGCCUUUUUUCCUUUACUUUGGGCUCUUCCCCGAAGAUGAAGAAAUUUCUGUGUCUGAUUUGACCAAGGCUUGGAUUGCCGAGAAAUUGAUCCGGGAUGACGGAAAUCAAAAUCCUGAUGACAUUGCGGCAGCUAAAUUAGAAAUCUUAAGUGAUAGAAAUUUAAUUCAAGUUUCUAUGAGAAAUUUUGAUGGAAGUGUAAAACGUUGUGGCAUUCAUGAUCUUCUACUAGUUCUUUGCAUCAAAAUAGCCAAGGAGAACAAUUUCUUUUGUACACAUCAUGAUAUACACUCUAAUUCUUUUUCAACUCUUCGUAGGCUUACCAUUGACAACACCAGUCAAUAUUCUUUUUCAAAUUCUAAAACUCCAAAACUUCGUACCUUGUUCUAUUUCAAUAACUUGGAAGAAUGGUCUUUGAUUCCUAAUGAGAUAGGAAACCUAAGUAGCUUGACUUACCUUAAGUUGAGUGGGAAGUUUGAAAGGAUGCCUUCAACCAUAAGGAACUUCAAGAAAUUGGUGACACUGGAUGCUAGUCAAGCACUAUUUGAUAUUUUUCCAAGAACUAUUUUCAGGACGAAGAAUUUGAAGCAUUUACUAUGUUUCCUUGACUAUAGGUUUGAGUAUAACACAAGCACAAUUUUGAAUGUCAGAGAUGAGGUGUAUUUACUAAACAUAGAAACUUUAUAUUGGGUGUCUGGUACCAUUUUGAGAGCUAGCUCAUUACAAAAACUCUCCAACUUGAGAGAGUUGGGUUUAUAUGAGAUUAAUGACCAACUUAUAGAUGUAAUAUCUGGUAAAACACCCAUAUUGGAGAAGCUCCAACACUUGCUCUUGAACACUCCGGAGCUUAAGAGGUUAAACCUGUCCCACUAUGACUAUCUUGCUAAGUUGAAUCUGGCACUAAGUCGUGAUUUUCGAUGUACACUUGACACCAUUGAAUUCCCUCCAAACCUCAUCUACCUUAACCUUCAGAUAUGAUAUUCACUGAGGAUCCAAUGAAGGUACUAAAAGAACUACCCAGUCUAGAGAUCCUUAGUUUGUUCUACUGUACGUACAGCAACUCAAUGCUGGAUUUCUCAGGAGCAAACAGCUUUCCAGAGCUUCAAGUGUUGGAAAUUGACGGAACAAAAAUUCCCGAGUUGAUUGUGGAUCAAACAGGGAUGCCAAACCUUUGCAAGUUCGUGUGCUACCAAAAGGACUUAAAUGUUCCGGAGAGACUACGUGAAAUAAUGGUGGAGCCUUGAAGUCAGACUAGUAUUGAAGAGUGGUAACUUCAAAUCAACAAAAAGAGGAGGCUUAUCAAGGUGGACUUUCUAAAUAUUGCCUGUUUUGCUUGUCAAAAGUGAAUAUGGACAUUAGAGUGCUUUUUUACUGCAUCAAUAAUUAGGUGCUACUGUGUGAUAUGAUUUAGAAGUAGUUGUGCUUUUUGAGGGUUUCAUGUAACUAUAGUGUGUUUUCUUUAUCUUGCUUGUGAGUGAUCAUGUUCAAUAUUUUAUCGAUACUUCAUAAAAUAUUUGUCCUUGGAAAACGUUCUCACUUUCUUGACAAUAAAUUUGUACUUUUUGGAAAUUCACUACUGAAUAAUCUUAUUUACUUUUUGAUUA